GCACCUCCACCACCUCCCCUGCAAACGUCCAGUGACGCAGAGGUAAUGGACGUUAGCUCUGGUGGUGAUGGAUA
rnacentral:pre_miRNA from 11 species